ACAUGCAAGUCGAACGAAGCAGCAAUGCUUAGUGGCAGACGGGUGAGUAACAUGUGGGUAUCUACCCUUUGGCCUGGAAUAACACGAGGAAACUUGUGCUAAUACCGGAUAAGUCUUUACGGAGAAAGCUUUAUGCACCAUUGGAUGAGCCCGCACUUGAUUAGUUUGUUGGUAGGGUAAUGGCCUACCAAGACUAUGAUCAAUAGCUGAUUUGAGAGGAUGAUCAGCCACAUUGGGACUGAGACACGGCCCAAACUCCUACGGGAGGCAGCAGUGGGGAAUCUUGCACAAUGGAGGAAACUCUGAUGCAGCGAUGCCGCGUGAGUGAAGAAGGCCUUUGGGUUGUAAAGCUCUUUCGUCGGGGAAGAAAAUGACUGUACCCGAAUAAGAAGGUCCGGCUAACUUCGUGCCAGCAGCCGCGGUAAUGCGAAGGGACCUAGCGUAGUUCGGAAUUACUGGGCUUAAAGAGUUCGUAGGUGGUUGAAAAAGUUGGUGGUGAAAUCCCAGAGCUUAACUCUGGAACUGCCAUCAAAACUUUUCAGCUAGAGUAUGAUAGAGGAAAGCAGAAUUUCUAGUGUAGAGGUGAAAUUCGUAGAUAUUAGAAAGAAUAC
rnacentral:rRNA from 1 species